GAUGAACGCUGGCGGCGUGCCUAAUACAUGCAAGUCGAGCGAACAGACGAGGAGCUUGCUCCUCUGACGUUAGCGGCGGACGGGUGAGUAACACGUGGAUAACCUACCUAUAAGACUGGGAUAACUUCGGGAAACCGGAGCUAAUACCGGAUAAUAUAUUGAACCGCAUGGUUCAAUAGUGAAAGACGGUUUUGCUGUCACUUCUAGAUGGAUCCGCGCCGCAUUAGCUAGUUGGUAAGGUAACGGCUUACCAAGGCAACGAUGCGUAGCCGAAGUGAGAGGGUGAUCGGCCACACUGGAACUGAGACACGGUCCAGACUCCUACGGGAGGCAGCAGUAGGGAAUCUUCCGCAAUGGGCGGAAGCCUGACGGAGCAACGCCGCGUGAGUUAUGAAGGUCUUCGGAUCGUAAAACUCUGUUAUUAGGGAAGAACAAAUGUGUAAGUAACUAUGCACGUCUUGACGGUACCUAAUCAGAAAGCCACGGCUAACUACGUG
rnacentral:rRNA from 1 species